rnacentral:rRNA from 1 species
UGGGGAAUAUUGCACAAUGGGGGAAACCCUGAUGCAGCAACGCCGCGUGAGUGAUGACGGUCUUCGGAUUGUAAAACUCUGUCUUUAGGGACGAUAAUGACGGUACCUAAGGAGGAAGCCACGGCUAACUACGUGCCAGCAGCCGCGGUAAUACGUAGGUGGCAAGCGUUGUCCGGAUUUACUGGGCGUAAAGGGAGCGUAGGUGGAUUUUUAAGUGGGAUGUGAAAUACCCGGGCUUAACCUGGGUGCUGCAUUCCAAACCGGAGAUCUAGAGUGCAGGAGGGAAAGCGGAAUUCCUAGUGUAGCGGUGAAAUGCGUAGAGAUUAGGAAGAACACCAGUGGCGAAGGCGGCUUUCUGGACUGUAACUGACACUGAGGCUCGAAAGCGUGGGGAGCAAACAGGAUUAGAUACCCUGGUAGU